rfam:Pseudoalteromonas ulvae strain TC14 Contig_132, whole genome shotgun sequence.
UGUACGUACAAGCAGUAGGAGCAUACUUGUUAUGUGACUGCGUACCUUUUGUAUAAUGGGUCAGCGACUUAUAUUUUGUAGCGAGGUUAACCAAUUAGGGGAGCCGUAGGGAAACCGAGUCUUAACUGGGCGUAUAGUUGCAAGGUAUAGACCCGAAACCCGGUGAUCUAGCCAUGGGCAGGUUGAAGGUUGAGUAACAUCAACUGGAGGACCGAACCCACUAACGUUGAAAAGUUAGGGGAUGACUUGUGGCUAGGAGUGAAAGGCUAAUCAAACCGGGAGAUAGCUGGUUCUCCCCGAAAUCUAUUUAGGUAGAGCCUCGGACGAAUACUUACGGGGGUAGAGCACUGUUAAGGCUAGGGGGUCAUCCCGACUUACCAACCCUUUGCAAACUCCGAAUACCGUAAAGUAAUAUCCGGGAGACACACGGCGGGUGCUAACGUCCGUCGUGAAGAGGGAAACAACCCAGACCGCCAGCUAAGGUCCCAAAGUGUAUGUUAAGUGGGAAACGAUGUGGAAAGGCCCAGACAGCCAGGAGGUUGGCUUAGAAGCAGCCAUCCUUUAAAGAAAGCGUAAUAGCUCACUGGUCGAGUCGGUCUGCGCGGAAGAUGUAACGGGGCUAAACAUACCACCGAAGCUGCGGCUGCRUACUUAUGUAUGCGGGGUAGGGGAGCGUUCUGUAAGCCGUUGAAGGUGAACCGGGAGGUUUGCUGGAGGUAUCAGAAGUGCGAAUGCUGACAUGAGUAACGAUAAUGCGGGUGAAAAACCCGCACGCCGGAAGACCAAGGGUUCCUAUCCCAUGUUAAUCAGGGUAGGGUGAGUCGACCCCUAAGGCGAGGCGGAAACGCGUAGUCGAUGGGAAACGGGUUAAUAUUCCCGUACUCGGCAUGAAUGCGAUGGGGAGACGGAGCAGGCUAGGCAAGCAUGGCGUUGGUUGUCCAUGUGAAAGUAAGUAGGUUGAGAACUUAGGCAAAUCCGGGUUCUUAAGACUGAGAUACGAGACGAGUCACUACGGUGAUGAAGUUGUUGAUGCCAUACUUCCAGGAAAAUCCUCUAAGCUUCAGUUCAUGCUGAAUCGUACCCCAAACCGACACAGGUGGUCAGGUAGAGAAUACUAAGGCGCUUGAGAGAACUCGGGUGAAGGAACUAGGCAAAAUAGUACCGUAACUUCGGGAGAAGGUACGCUGCUGACGGUGAUAGGACUUGCUCCUUAAGCUGUUGGCAGUCACAGUAACCAGGUGGCUGGGACUGUUUAUUAAAAACACAGCACUGUGCAAAAUCGAAAGAUGACGUAUACGGUGUGACACCUGCCCGGUGCCGGAAGGUUAAUUGAUGGGGUUAUCUUCGGAGAAGCUCUUGAUCGAAGCCCCGGUAAACGGCGGCCGUAACUAUAACGGUCCUAAGGUAGCGAAAUUCCUUGUCGGGUAAGUUCCGACCUGCACGAAUGGUGUAACCAUGGCCACGCUGUCUCCACCCGAGACUCAGUGAAAUUGAAAUCGCAGUGAAGAUGCUGUGUACCCGCGGCUAGACGGAAAGACCCCGUGAACCUUUACUACAGCUUGGCACUGAACAUUGAACCUACAUGUGUAGGAUAGGUGGGAGACUUUGAAGCAGCGACGCUAGUUGUUGUGGAGUCGUCCUUGAAAUACCACCCUUGUAGUUUUGAUGUUCUAACGUAGGCCCCUAAUCGGGGUUGCGGACAGUGCCUGGUGGGUAGUUUGACUGGGGCGGUCUCCUCCCAAAGAGUAACGGAGGAGCACGAAGGUUUGCUAAGUACGGUCGGACAUCGUACGGUUAGUGUAAUGGUAGAAGCAAGCUUAACUGCGAGACGGACAAGUCGAGCAGGUACGAAAGUAGGUCAUAGUGAUCCGGUGGUUCUGAAUGGAAGGGCCAUCGCUCAACGGAUAAAAGGUACUCCGGGGAUAACAGGCUGAUACCGCCCAAGAGUUCAUAUCGACGGCGGUGUUUGGCACCUCGAUGUCGGCUCAUCACAUCCUGGGGCUGAAGUCGGUCCCAAGGGUAUGGCUGUUCGCCAUUUAAAGUGGUACGCGAGCUGGGUUUAGAACGUCGUGAGAC